rnacentral:lncRNA from 1 species
UAGGUUUUGGACUCCACGGUCAUGUUUGCAUGCAAAGGCCUGGUUAAGGAGUGUGGAUGGCUGUUCCAGCCGCAGCACCAUAGAAGCCCGUGUGGGAUUCAGUGUGUCUGGCUGCUUUUGCUGGGGGCCCGGCUGCACCUGUGGGAAAGACCCCGAGGUGGAGGCUUGAUUUGUGAUUGAACAGAUCGGUUUUCUUGAAGUUUGAAGUGUGGUUGACAGAUCCUUGCAAUAAAAAUGCUUCAAGGCUGAAGGAAAAUUGCCCUCUGCACAGGAAGAGUUUUUGUUCCCUAAAACUCUCCGCAUUCAGAUAUCUCUAUGGUCUGUGGCUUCUCUGAUAGCCAAGGGAAGGGCUUUUGAGUCGGGGCAUCAAAUGAGUGGUGUUCAGAGUUCUUCCCACUUAGUACUCUGUAACUUGAUGGUGCCCUCAAAAGGUAUGUGUGACUCAGACCUUCCUGCCUGGUGCUCCUGUGCACACAUCCUCAAAUGGGUAUCCCGUGGGAAGUAGCGAUAGGAUAUCCCACAGGGGGUUGAAUGGCAUGCCUGUCUUUCUCAAGCACACCCGUGUUGCCUCUGUACUUCCUAGGUGGUGUGGGCAUGGAAGGAAGGCCAGUGGAGACAAUGGAUGAUCUUGCUCUUAGAAGAUCACUGGAGGUGGCAGGGAGUCCUAGGACACGUGUGGCGUGGGCCUCUUCAGGUGCUGGUGCUGUUGGCAUGAAAGGAAAGGAGGUAUCUUCGAGGGACAAUCUUCGCCUUGUGCGAUCCUUGGAGAUGCCACGAGGACUCUGGACACAUGUGGUGCGGGCUCCUUUGGAGGCUGUUGAAUCCCUUCUGAAUGUAGCACUGGCAUGGAAGGCAGGCCCGUGUUGGCGAGGGACAAUUGUUAUCUCAUGUGAGCCGCGGAGAUACCAGGAAGCCCCUGGACACAAUGGCAAAGACUCCCUCGGAAGUUGUUGGAUCCCUUCUGAAUGUGGCGUUGGCAUAAAAGGCGAGCUUGUAUCAUGA